GUUAGGACUACAGCACGUUUUCUUCAAAUAGAGUAGGGCUGCUUUUUUCUCUUUUAUGCAUACAUUAACUUCCUGGUAAAUUUUUUAUUUGAAUUAUGAUAAUAGCACACACCUACAUAAUACUUAACUUUAUGCCAGCUGUUGUUUUCAACACCUCAUAUUAUCUCAUUUAAUUCUCAAAACAACCUUUGAGGUAGAUGUUCGUAUCUUCAUUUUACAUAAGUUAAAGCACAGAGAGGUUAAGUAACUUGUUCACGAUUCCACAACUAGGAAGUGGUAAAACUGGAAUUUGAGCUCAGACAGUGAUUUUAACUACUAUAGUAUAUUGUCUCUAACUGAAGAAAAGAAUGCCUUGGCUUUUGGUAAGUUUGAAAACCAUUGAUAUUUAAUAUUGGAAAUUUGGGGCACAAACUUGUGCAAAGAUUCGGUAAUGUCAGAAAGGUGUCAGCUUGAGAUUGUAGUUUUGAUUUUUUCAACAUUUCUGUAUUUUUAAUUGUUUCAGCAUUUCAAUUACUUUUUAGUAACUCACCCUGUAAUUUUCAAGCACUUCCUCGCCAUCGGGUGGUAGAAGACAGUUGUAAAUCAUGUGAUUCAUAAAGCUUGAGGCAUACACCAAAAUGUCUUUUUAAAUUUCAAAUUUAUUUUAGGUACAGGGGAUACAUGUGCAGGUUUGUUACAAGGAAAUAUUGCAUGAUGCUGAGGUCUGGAGUAUGGAUCCCAUUACCCAGGUGCUGUAAGGAAACUGCCUACGGCUCCUUUCCCAGGAUAAUAAGAAGUGCCUUUUGCCUCCGCCAUGAUUCUGACCCCCUCCCCGCCCAGCCAUGGGGAACUGUAAGUACAAUUAAACCUCUUUUUCUUCCUUUUUCCUUUUCUUUCUUCUCUUUUUCUUUUUCGUGUUCAUGCUUUUUAUCAGCAGCAUGAACACGAAAUAAUCUAGAUAAGAAGAACUCUGUUUCAGUGCAUGACAUGUAUUUGAUUUAAAGAAAUCAAGGGAACUUUGGUUUCUAUGGCAGUUGGAGACUUUUAGGCCACUUACUAUUAUUGUCUCAAUUUUAGCUUUUGCAUGUCUUACCAAUUCCAGCAAUAAAACCAAGCAUGUGAAAUAGGAAUUUUAUCUGAUUUAGCUUGAGUCUCAAUUCAUUUUCUUCUAACUCUCAACUCAGGUUACUCACUGAAGAGAACAUUUUUGACUGUAUUGAUUGGUCUCCUUUUAGAUGCUGUUAUUGAAUAUAUUCAUUUAAACCUUGUCUUUAGAAACAACGGAAUCCAUAGCAUGCUCAGUUUCUUUGCUUGCUCGCAGUAGUGAAAUAGUUAGAAAAUUUUUCUGUCUAUCUGAUAAAGAUUAUGUAAACACUUUGAAGUUUACAAUAAGCUUUGCAAUCCAUUUUUUAAUCCUUACAGCAAAACCAUACAGCAGGCUUAGCCUGAGCUGUUAGUAUUCUUUUAAAGAUGAGAGGAAAAUUCACUUGUUCCAGGUUUAUGCAGUCAGGACUGAAAAUCUAUUUUCUGCAUAGCACUAUCAGAUACCUUUCAUAUUGUUUGCUUAUUAGUUUUCUGUUUGUUAUCUGUUCCCUCUGCCAGAAGAAUGC
ensembl:lncRNA